rnacentral:rRNA from 1 species
GAUGAACGCUGGCGGCGUGCUUAACACAUGCAAGUCGAACGGAAAGGCCCAAGCUUGCUUGGGUACUCGAGUGGCGAACGGGUGAGUAACACGUGGGUGAUCUGCCCUGCACUUCGGGAUAAGCCUGGGAAACUGGGUCUAAUACCGGAUAGGACCACAUUUUGGAUGGUGUGGUGGAAAGUUUUUCGGUGCGGGAUGAGCUCGCGGCCUAUCAGCUUGUUGGUGGGGUAAUGGCCUACCAAGGCGUCGACGGGUAGCCGGCCUGAGAGGGUGUACGGCCACAUUGGGACUGAGAUACGGCCCAGACUCCUACGGGAGGCAGCAGUGGGGAAUAUUGCACAAUGGGCGCAAGCCUGAUGCAGCGACGCCGCGUGGGGGAUGACGGCCUUCGGGUUGUAAACUCCUUUCGCUAGGGACGAAGCGCAAGUGACGGUACCUGGAGAAGAAGCACCGGCUAACUACGUG